UUUGGUCUUAUGGCUUUUUCCAGAAGCUUCCCAUUCUCUCUCUGUAUCGGUUCCUGUUCAUCUUCAUCGUUUCUGAUUUUCAUCUUCAAAUCCUCAUGUUUUCAUGGUAUCAGAGCGGGAAAAUCUUCCGAUCCUUCUCUGUUACGUGUUAUCAAUACUUGAUGAAGCUUUCGCUGAAGUUUUUCUUCGGUUAUCUGAGAAAAAAAUACUCUUCGUAUAUUUUUUCUUGAUGAAUGAUAAUCGGUUAAUCGGGAAUUUUCUGACUGUUUGAGGCUCCGAUCCUGUAUCAGUAGAUGUUUUGGGUGAUUUUCCGACAUCUCUGACUUUGUUCCGACGAGUUCUUCAAAUUCUAGUGUUUUCCGACUUUCGGACCUAGAGUUUUGGGGUUGUCCGAUGAAUUUCUCUUCGCUUGAUGGACGUUUUGGGUAACUUUCCGGCGUCUGUGACCUUAUUUCGGUGAGUUUCAGAACCUAGGGUUUCCGGUGUUGGACCUAGGGUUUUCUCUGUUGAUUGAAGGCCGAUCUUCUCCGGNNNNNNNNNNNNNNNNNNNNNNNNNUUCUGUGUGUGCUUUCUCUGAUUUCUAGAGUUUUGGGGUUGUUCGAUGACUUUCUCUUCGCUUGAUGGACGCUUUGGGUAACUUUCCGGCGUCUUUGACCUUAUUUCGGUGAGUUUCAGAACCUAGGGUUUCCGGUGUUGGACCUAGGGUUUUCUCUGUUGAUUGAAGGCCGAUCUUCUCCGGUCGCGAAGAAGAAGGGUAAC
rnacentral:lncRNA from 1 species